GCCAAAUAGGUUUCAUAGUUGAACAAGGAUUUAAAGCCAGUUCUUCCUGAUCCAGAUACUGCCAACAAAGGAAUAAUCCACAUAUAAAGAACCUAACAUUUGCAAGACAGCAAGUCCUCCUGCUUGGCAACAUUAUUAAUGAAGACCCAUGGUCAGGUGUGCCAAUAAUAGUGCUUUG